UACGUAGGGUGCAAGCGUUAAUCGGAAUUACUGGGCGUAAAGCGUGCGCAGGCGGUUUUGUAAGUCUGUCGUGAAAGCCCCGGGCUCAACCUGGGAAUUGCGAUGGAGACUGCAAGGCUUGAAUCUGGCAGAGGGGGGUAGAAUUCCACGUGUAGCAGUGAAAUGCGUAGAGAUGUGGAGGAACACCGAUGGCGAAGGCAGCCCCCUGGGUCAAGAUUGACGCUCAUGCAAGAAAGCGUGGGGAGCAAACAGG
rnacentral:rRNA from 1 species